rnacentral:rRNA from 1 species
UGCAAGUCGAGCGAACAGAUAAGGAGCUUGCUCCUUUGACGUUAGCGGCGGACGGGUGAGUAACACGUGGGUAACCUACCUAUAAGACUGGGAUAACUUCGGGAAACCGGAGCUAAUACCGGAUAACAUUUGGAACCGCAUGGUUCUAAAGUGAAAGAUGGUUUUGCUAUCACUUAUAGAUGGACCCGCGCCGUAUUAGCUAGUUGGUAAGGUAACGGCUUACCAAGGCAACGAUACGUAGCCGACCUGAGAGGGUGAUCGGCCACACUGGAACUGAGACACGGUCCAGACUCCUACGGGAGGCAGCAGUAGGGAAUCUUCCGCAAUGGGCGAAAGCCUGACGGAGCAACGCCGCGUGAGUGAUGAAGGGUUUCGGCUCGUAAAACUCUGUUAUUAGGGAAGAACAAAUGUGUAAGUAACUGUGCACAUCUUGACGGUACCUAAUCAGAAAGCCACGGCUAACUACGUGCCAGCAGCCGCGGUAAUACGUAGGUGGCAAGCGUUAUCCGGAAUUAUUGGGCGUAAAGCGCGCGUAGGCGGUUUCUUAAGUCUGAUGUGAAAGCCCACGGCUCAACCGUGGAGGGUCAUUGGAAACUGGGAAACUUGAGUGCAGAAGAGGAAAGUGGAAUUCCAUGUGUAGCGGUGAAAUGCGCAGAGAUAUGGAGGAACACCAGUGGCGAAGGCGACUUUCUGGUCUGUAACUGACGCUGAUGUGCGAAA